UGGCCUUUGUUAAUACUAACGCCACCAUUCACUAGGCAUCUACUGUGAACCAGACACUGCAUGAGAGGCUCCACGCACUGUCUCCCUUAAUCCUCACCACCACCCCAGGAGGUCAGCACACUGAACCAGGGCCACACAGAGGACGCGAAGUGCUGAAUCUUGACUUUCUAACCCCAAGGCUCACCCCUGUUUCUCCCCACUGCAGGCGGCCUCCUAGUUUCUCGAUUCGCAGGGAACCCGAUUAGAGGCUUUUGGCAGUGACUACACAACUCAUGGUUCACAGGAAGGGACAGCAGAGCCACGGUGCUCUAGUGGACAAUAUAUACCUCCUGCUUGGCAGCUUCACGAGGGGACCCUAAAACUGGGGAAUUUACAAGCCCUGCUAGACCACCAAGGCCCUCGCAUGCUCAGAAUGCAGGACUCCGACUGGCCAAGGACUCCGAGGACCCGGCUCUAGCGAGUCAGCUGGCUCUAAAGAUCUACGCCUUUGGGUUUGUCAUUCAUUCAAUGAAAAAUUGAUGCUUCUGGGCGCUUUAAGAGAGCCAAGUUUCCCGCAGCUUCCAGUCACAGAGUGAGACCCAAGAGGAAGGAGCCAAUAAAAUCUUAAAGACACCCAAGGACCAGGCCCACACAUUCCAAAUACUUCUUAGGAUCCCUCAGAAGCCAAUGGCUCUGUCUUAGAGAGCAGUUUUGAGUAUUAAAGGAAGACAGAAGAGUCCAGAAUAUAGAGUCCAGGGUUGCUGACCAAAGAGGGCAGACUUGGCUCCCGUUGGAGGGCAUCUGAGUCCAGGACACCCCUCCUCUUAACCCAAUCCAGAAGGCAGCUACUCUGAUUAUCUCCCUUUUACAAGUGGGGAAAUGGAGGCACAAUGAGGCAAAGUGACUCAGCCAAGGUCAGGCAGAAGAUGAGUGAAAUCAUUUGGUACCUGUCCCUCUCCGGCUGACUCACCUCACCAAGCAUAACAUCCUCUAGCUCCAUCCAUGUUGUUGCAAAUGAACGCAUAGGAUGGAGAACUUUCCAGAUCAAGGACUCAGAGAGCAAAGGCUGAGCAUGAUUCUCUAGGGCCAACAAGUCACUGGUCUGACUGGAGUGGGCCUUGAGACUUUGUUCGUUGACAUGCAAGUACUCUGACUCUCAGGUGACUUCCAUGGCAGAAGUGAAUGGCCUUGGCUUGGCUGCCUGCUGGUGACCCCUUCCACUGCUUAUGUCCACUCCGCAGGACCAUCUGCUCAGUUAUGGAUUCUGAGAUGACUGAUACGGAGAUACAACCUCAGCAGAGCUGCAUUCCAGCAGAAGAAACCUAUGCUCACGACACUCAUAAUUCAGGAGAAUUUCUUUCUAAUUGACUUUGGAGCAGGCCCUGAGUCAAGAUCAGUAUAUCAAAGACUGUCAGGCCAGCAGGGUCCACAGAGAGAAGGCAGUCCAGCCACUACUUUACAGAUGAGGCUACUGAGGCCCAGAGAGGGGAAGAAUCUUGUCCAAGGUCACACAGCGAAGUUGCUGUGGAGAAAGGGGCAGCAUGCCAGCCUUCGGAUUCCCAGUCCAAUGCUCUUGACUCAUCUUCUUGUCAUGACUACUGAUGGCACCACAGAAAACCCUGGAACAGGGGCUUGGGGUCUACAGAACAUGCACAAAAGCCUGCUGAUCGUUUCACAGAGGAACCAUACCUCCUUUGUUUAAAAUAGAGGCAAGUUUGCAAAGUUGGUGACAGUCACCUUAUUGUCCUUUCACUUCCCCCAUCUGGGUCACUGUGCUUUUUCCAGGUGACCCACUCACUGGGUGUGCUCCCAGGAGUCUCAUACUGAUACUCAGACCUACUUUCUCCCCAGAGGGCCAGGCCCUGGAAAGACCUCUUCUUUCUUCCUAGACCCAUAUUCAAAGCACAGAGGAGCAUGCCUUAUACCUUCAUUCAAAAUGAUAUCUAAAUCACUAGCAACUAAUCUAGAUGAAUCUCAUGGCUAAAUUUCAGGGGGUUUAGAUUUUGGAGCAAAGAUCUUUCUAUAUAGUUUUCAAGACAUACACAUAUCUAACCACAUGUCUGUCAGUAUGGCUGGCCCAUGUAUUAGCAAGGUGUGCACAUAGCCUAAAAUUUCCUACAACCUAGCAUCCCACCUUCCAUGGACAUACUCGUCCUGGGUAACUUAGAUGAUGUUGCUGAUGUAUAUAGGACAUGAUUUUAUUCCCAGUGAUCUGGCCUAGCUAUAGAUAAAUCUUUAGUGAAUGAAGGUUUAGCAAAAAAUAACAAUAGCCAUAGCUUCCAUUAUUGAACAUUUAUGUUGUAUUGGGGACUCUGUUAAGAACAUUAUGUACAUGUCAUAGUUUUUUAUUUUUAUAAUAAUCCUGUUAUGGGUUGAAUUGUGUCCCUGCUGAUCUGCCACCAAUUCAGAUGAAGUCCUAACUCCUAAUACCUCAUAAUGUGACUCAUUUGGAAAUAUGGUUAUUGACAAAAUGAUCAGUUAAGAUGAGGUCAAACUGAAAUAGGUAGACCUCCUAGUCCAAUAUGACUACUGUCCUCAUGAAAAGGGGAAAUUUGGACAUAGAGACACACACAUGGAGAUGAUGCCAUGUGAAGAUGAAAAUAAGAGAUCUGGUGAAGCUUCUACAUAACCAAGGACUGCCGAAGAAUGGCACCACACCUCCAGCAGCUCUGGGAGAGACACGGGCCAGCUUCUCCUUCACAGCCUCAGAAGGAACCAACUCAGCUGACGCCUUGAUCUCAGGCUUCUAGCUCCCAGAACCAUAGGACAGUAAAUAUCCGUAAGCCACCCAGUCAAUGGUACUUUGUUAUGGCAGCCCGAGCAAACCAAUACAAGCCUUAGCACAUGAUAUUCUUUAUGUUAUGGACAAGGAAGCUGAGGCUCAGAGAGGUUCAGUAACUUGCCUACCGUCACAUGCCUGAUGAGGAGCAGAGCCAGGAUUCAAACUUAGUGUGCUCUCCUGCUUUUAUUUGGGAGAUAAAAAGCGUUUAUUUUCUCUUCAUUUCAAGCCAGAUGUAAUGGACCUUCCUUCUCUCUCAGCCUGGGAGCCAGAUCUCUCAGUCUACAUCCCCAUCACUAACUCAGAACCCUGAGGUGCAUCUUUUCUUCUCCCCACAUUUCUCCUCUUUCAGCAAUUAGCACAUCCCCAAAUCAAAUGCCUAGGGCUAGCAUCAGAAAAAUAAAUUUUCUCAUUUUGAUCUUA